rnacentral:tRNA from 1 species
GGUGCUAUAGCUCAGUUGGUAGAGCAAUGGACUGAAAAUCCAUGUGUCCCUAGUUCGAAUCUUGGUAGCACCACCA